rnacentral:rRNA from 1 species
GACGGGGGAUGCAAGUGUUAUCCGGAAUCACUGGGCGUAAAGCGUCUGUAGGUGGUCAAAUUAGUCAACUGUUAAAUCUUGAGGCUCAACCUCAAAAUCGCAGUCGAAACUAUUCGACUAGAGUAUAGUAGGGGUAAAGGGAAUUUCCAGUGGAGCGGUGAAAUGCGUAGAGAUUGGAAAGAACACCGAUGGCGAAGGCACUUUACUGGGCUAUUACUAACACUGAGAGACGAAAGCUAGGGUAGCAAAUGGG